GAAAUGCGAUAAGUAAUGUGAAUUGCAGAAUUCAGUGAAUCAUCGAAUCUUUGAACGCACCUUGCACUCUUUGGUAUUCCGAAGAGUAUGCUUGUUUGAGUAUCAUUAAAUUCUCAAAACACUACUUGGUUUUAUAUCAAGUCAGUGGCUUUGGAUGUGGAGGUUGCAGGCUUCUUGUAAGGUCUGCUCUUCUUAAAUGCAUUAGUGGUUAUUGAUUCCACUUCUUGGUGUGAUAAUAUCUACGCCUUGUAAGAAUGGAUCUAAUGUAGCUGCUCUCAAACCGUCUGCAAAGACAAUUUGAACCAUUUGAUCUCAAAUCAAGUAGGACUACCCGCUGAACUUAA
rnacentral:misc_RNA from 1 species